AUUGAACGCUGGCGGCAGGCCUAACACAUGCAAGUCGAACGAGUAGCGGACGGGUGAGUAAUGUCUGGGAAACUGCCCGAUGGAGGGGGAUAACUACUGGAAACGGUAGCUAAUACCGCAUACCAUCGGAUGUGCCCCGAUGGGAUUAGCUAGUAGGUGUGGUAAUGGCUCACCUAGGCGACGAUCCCUAGCUGGUCUGAGAGGAUGACCAGCCACCUUGGAACGGGGACACGGUCCAGACUCCUAGGGGAGGCAGCAGUGGGGAAGAUUGUACAAUGGGCGCAAGCCGGAGGUAGCCAUGCCGCGUGUAUGAAGAAGGAUCUCGGGUUGUAAAGUACUUUCAGCGGGGAGGCGUUACCCGCAGAUGAAGCACCGGCUAACUCCGUGCCAGCAGCCGCGGUAAUUC
rnacentral:rRNA from 1 species